AUUGAACGCUGGCGGCAGGCCUAACACAUGCAAGUCGAGCGGAUGAAGGGAGCUUGCUCCUGGAUUCAGCGGCGGACGGGUGAGUAAUUCCUAGGAAUCUGCCUGGUAGUGGGGGAUAACGUCCGGAAACGGGCGCUAAUACCGCAUACGUCCUGAGGGAGAAAGUGGGGGAUCUUCGGACCUCACGCUAUCAGAUGAGCCUAGGUCGGAUUAGCUAGUUGGUGGGGUAAAGGCCUACCAAGGCGACGAUCCGUAACUGGUCUGAGAGGAUGAUCAGUCACACUGGAACUGAGACACGGUCCAGACUCCUACGGGAGGCGGCAGUGGGGAAUAUUGGACAAUGGGCGAAAGCCUGAUCCAGCCAUGCCGCGUGUGUGAAGAAGGUCUUCGGAUUGUAAAGCACUUUAAGUUGGGAGGAAGGGCAGUAAGUUAAUACCUUGCUGUUUUGACGUUACCAACAGAAUAAGCACCGGCUAACUUCGUG
rnacentral:rRNA from 1 species